AGCCGGCAGCUCGAGAACUAUGCAAGAGCCGUUGCAGUUCUCUUGUCAUUAACGCUCGGAUCCGGUGAGUAACACGUGGGUCACGACGUUAGACAGGAUAACUCCGGGAAACGGGCUAAUCACUGGAUGACUUUUCUCUCCGCAUCGAGAGAGAUUGAAGAUGGCUUCGGCUAUCACUCUACAGAUGGAGCCGCGCGCAUUAGCUAGUUGCGUGAGGUAACGCUCACCAGGCAACGAUGCGUACGCGACUGAGAGGUGAUCGCACAUGGGACUGAGACACAGCCCAAAUUCUACAGGAGGCAGCAGUAGGGAUCUUCGCAAUGACGAAGUCUGAGGGAGCACACGCGCGUAGUGAAGAAGUCUUCGAUCGUAAAAAUCUGUCGGUAGGGAGAACAAGUAUCGUCUGAAUAGGCGUACCUUAGGGGACCUACAGAAGCCCCGCUACUACGUGCAGAGCCCGGAAUACAGUAGUGCCAGCUUGUCCGACUAUGGCGUAACGCCCGCCAGCGGCUUUAAGCUGAUGUGAAGCCCCCGCUAACCUGAGGUCUAUUGACUAAACUCACGCCACAGACGGAGUGAAUACUUAUGGAACAACUAGAGAUGGGGACUCUGAAGCACCUUCGUGAUGGUGCCGCACAUGGGCCACAAGUAUCUCUCUCUGCCACAAAGAUGUGGUCGU
rnacentral:rRNA from 1 species